GGCAUCGAGAUGGGAUGCAUAUCUUUUAAUGAGUGACGACCAAAUACACUGGUUUUCAAUUGUCAAUUCUCUGAUGAUUGUUCUCUUCCUUUCCGGCAUGGUAGCAAUGAUUAUGUUAAGGACACUUUACCGUGAUAUUUCUAAGUACAAUGAACUUGAGACCCAGGAAGAAGCCCAAGAAGAGACAGGAUGGAAGCUUGUACAUGGGGACGUUUUCAGGCCUCCAUCUAAUUCUGACCUGCUCUGUGUCUAUGUUGGCACCGGUAUUCAAUUUUUGGGCAUGGUACUAGUUACCAUGAUCUUUGCUGUUUUUGGAUUUCUUUCCCCCUCCAACCGAGGUGGUCUGAUGACAGCUAUGCUCCUGCUUUGGGUCUUCAUGGGCAUUUUUGCUGGCUAUGCCUCUUCACGUCUAUACAAAAUGUUUAAAGGAACAGAGUGGAAGAAAAUAUCUCUAAAGACUGCAUGCUUGUUCCCGGGCAUCGUCUUUGCCAUCUUCUUUGUCUUAAAUGCUCUCAUAUGGGGC
rnacentral:lncRNA from 1 species